rnacentral:lncRNA from 1 species
AUGUCAAUGGUACCCCAUAUCCCACUAUUACCCAAAUAAUUUCAAACUUGAGCAUAAGAGUUGAGUAGCUUGAGGAUACUAUUCUCAGGCUCAAUGCCAAAGUUUUUGAUUUGGAGAGAGAAGUGAGAAGACUAUCACAUCGUAUUAGACUGAGCAGUGAUGACACUACUAAUUUGUCAAUGUUGAUGGUUGAGGCAGGGUGACUACAAGGAUUGAAAGAGUUAGUGAUUUGACAGCUGAGAGAGGAG